AUUGAACGCUGGCGGCAGGCCUAACACAUGCAAGUCGAACGGUAGCACAGAGAGCUUGCUCUCGGGUGACGAGUGGCGGACGGGUGAGUAAUGUCUGGGAAACUGCCCGAUGGAGGGGGGUAACUACUGGAAACGGUAGCUAAUACCGCGUAACGUCGCAAGACCAAAGAGGGGGACCUUCGGGUCCGUCUUGCCAUCGGAUGUGCCCACGAUGGGAUUAGCUUGUAGGUGAGGUAACGG
rnacentral:rRNA from 1 species